GACGAACGCUGGCGGCGUGCCUAAUACAUGCAAGUUGAGCGAUGAAGCUUGGUGCUUGCACCAAUUUGAAGAGCAGCGAACGGGUGAGUAACGCGUGGGGAAUCUGCCUUUGAGCGGGGGACAACAUUUGGAAACGAAUGCUAAUACCGCAUAACAACUUUAAACAUAAGUUUUAAGUUUUAAAGAUGCAAUUGCAUCACUCAAAGAUGAUCCCGCGUUGUAUUAUCUAGUUGGUGAGGUAAAGGCUCACCAAGGCGAUGAUACAUAGCCGACCUGAGAGGGUGAUCGGCCACAUUGGGACUGAGACACGGCCCAAACUCCUACGGGAGGCAGCAGUAGGGAAUCUUCGGCAAUAGACGAAAGUCUGACCGAGCAACGCCGCGUGAGUGAAGAAGGUUUUCGGAUCGUAAAACUCUGUUGGUAGAGAAGAACGUUGGUGAGAGUGGAAAGCUCAUCAAGUGACGGUAACUACCCAGAAAGGGACGGCUAACUACGUG
rnacentral:rRNA from 1 species